UACGUAGGAUGCAAGCGUUAAUCGGAAUUACUGGGCGUAAAGCGCACGUAGGCAGCUCUGCAAGUCGGUUGUGAAAUCCCCGGGCUCAACCUGGGAACUGCGACCGAGACUGCAUUGCUAGAGUAUGGGAGAGGAAAGCGGAAUUUCUGGUGUAGCAGUGAAAUGCGUAGAUAUCAGAAGGAACAUCAGUGGCGAAGGCGGCUUUCUGGACCAAUACUGACGCUCAGGUGCGAAAGCGCGGGGAGCAGACAGG
rnacentral:rRNA from 1 species